UACGUAGGGUGCGAGCGUUGUCCGGAAUUACUGGGCGUAAAGAGCUCGUAGGUGGUUUGUCGCGUUGUUCGUGAAAACUCACAGCUCAACUGUGGGCGUGCGGGCGAUACGGGCAGACUGGAGUACUGCAGGGGAGACUGGAAUUCCUGGUGUAGCGGUGGAAUGCGCAGAUAUCAGGAGGAACACCGGUGGCGAAGGCGGGUCUCUGGGCAGUAACUGACGCUGAGGAACGAAAGCGUGGGUAGCGAACAGG
rnacentral:rRNA from 1 species